rnacentral:rRNA from 1 species
AAGAAGGUUUUCGGAUCGUAAAGCUCUGUUGUUGUUAAAGAACGUUGAUGAGAGUGGAAAGUUCAUCAAGUGACGGUAAACAACCAGAAAGGGACGGCUAACUACGUGCCAGCAGCCGCGGUAAUACGUAGGUCCCGAGCGUUGUCCGGAUUUAUUGGGCGUAAAGCGAGCGCAGGUGGUUUCUUAAGUCUGGUGUCAAAGGCUACUGCUCAACAGUAGUGUGCAUUGGAAACUGGGAGACUUGAGUGCAGGAGAGGAGAGUGGAAUUCCAUGU